rnacentral:lncRNA from 1 species
AAAGGGUGUGUUUUACUAUCAAAUUUAAGCAUGAAAUGCGCUAUUCAAAUAGAAAUUAAACAAAUGCCUAAGGGCCGUGACAUGUGCGUCACUUCAACAGUGAAUCAACAUCUUCUUUCAAUCUAAAAACAAAAAUCAAUCGCAAAAAGAGAGUGCUACUUCAUUGAAUGAAAAUAAACUAAAAGAAAGAUGCUUCAUUCAGUCAGCUCAAAAUAUAAAUCAACGUUAACAUUCAAGUAAAACUCCAAAUAAAAUACUUCAGCCUUUGCACAAAAUGAAAAGGAAAAGAAGAUGUGUUUCCUUCAUUCCCUCAAAACCGUGACCAUCUCCCCACAUUUUAAAAAAACGUUGCAGCUAAAAGACCUCAGCAAGUGACGGCUGGUGCUACCUUAAAGGCCGUGAGGUGUGUGAUGGGUGUUGCGGCCCAUACAAAUUUGAUGGCAUAUAAGAAUUGCAGUAUAGCUAGGGAAUGACUCCUAGGUCGUCUCUCAAGGACCAAACUGUGGUUCGAGAAUCAGGUCUCACAUGAAAGGGGGGGUUGAAAGUGGUUCUAUGAAUGCAAAUCGACUGAAUUAAAGCACGAAGUUAGACCUAACUCACAGUAUUGAAACGGAUGGACACUAAAGCUAACAUUACAACUAAAUCACCACAACUAAACAUAGAAAACAUUAAAGUAAAAAAAAAAAAUAUUAAACGUCUAACACUGUAACAAAAAUAUCUAAAUAUAAUUAAAGCCAUUAAAAUGCAACACUAAAUUAAAAAUAUAAAACCCAACUCAACAAACUAUAUGAAAUUAAAUUACAACAAAAAAAUAAAUAACACAAUUUACUUUUAGCAAUUAACAUGACCUAUGACAUCUACCAAAUGAAAUUUAAUUUGCCAAAUGGCCUAAGGGANNN